rnacentral:rRNA from 1 species
CCUGGCGGCUGUAGCGCGGUUGUCCCACCUGACCCCAUGCCGAACUCAGAAGUGAAACGCCGUAGCGCCGAUGGUAGUGUGGGGUCUCCCCAUGCGAGAGUAGGGAACUGCCAGGC